rnacentral:lncRNA from 1 species
UUUUUUAUUGGGUAAGCGUUGAUGUCACUCUGAUCAUAAAAGGAAGAUGUCUGUUGGUUUCUCCUACCAGCAUUUCUUAGCCCAGCAAAGAUGCCUGGACUAACAGGGAGGGCUGGGUUAUAAUGGAAAUAUCUCUCCUGAGAGGGGCAGUUAUAUGGACACUUGUUGACCCCUUACUGGUAGGAUGACUGGCAGUCACAGCCCACCUUGAUGUCUCUAUGUCAUGUUCAGUUCUUGGUAAUAUCGUCAUACGGGCCAGUUUAGGCGCGGAAAGAAGAGGUGAAGACAAUGAUUGAAAUUUAGUGUACACAGAGAAAAGGGCAGGAAAGACUUAACUGCAAUUAGAAAUAUCACUGAUUAGAAGACACUUGAUAAAAACACAGGGUGCCCUUGGAUAGGGGCCCUACAGUUGAGAACAGAGAACAAAAAAACAAAAAGGAGGGGCCGAGACUAACUGAAGCCCCUUCCAGGUUCCUUGACAGCCCAGACCAUCUUGAUGAUUGAAAUAUACAAAUUCAGAUUUUAAGACGCCCUCCAUACUGGAGUCAGAUUUGCAAAGCUUCUUCCGUGAGCAGGCUUGAAAGUGACUUUAUGACAUCACUCCUGCAGAAGAUGGUAGAACUCUUCAAUCCAGAAUUUUCUUUUCUGUCCACCCUCCCUCUCUUCCUUGUGUUCUGUUUCUCAUCCUGCCAUCCACAUUUGUGCAGCUCUGGGGCUGGAUUGGGGGUGCUUUCUCAUUAAAAAGAAGCCCCCAGACCAUGUAUCACCAAGGAAAAUGAAAAAACUGAAGCCAUCAGUGGUUCGAACACUCCCUGAAGGGCGUGGAGAGCUGUUACACCAUUAUUGCCUUCCUAGUGGGGAAAUGAUCUCUAGGAUUCAGCAUCCCAGAACUGUUGUCCAAGAUUUCCCUGAAAGAAAAGAAGAAGGAAAAAAAAAAAGCCUGCAGCCUCAGGUUUCAAAAACUCCCAAGUACAGAUGGGCAAAUAAAGAAGGGAACUAAUUUUGUUUCUGUAAUUCCUAUAGAUUUUCAAGUUGUUUUUAAGUAUUUGAAGAACCUCAUUGUGAGGACAGUUCUUUUUAUCUCCG